GAUGAACGCUGGCGGCGUGCUUAACACAUGCAAGUCGAACGAGAAGUGGAGACGGAAACCUUCGGGCGGAAGACUUUAUUUCGAGUGGCGGACGGGUGAGUAACGCGUGGGUAACCUGCCUCAUACAGGGGGAUAACAGUUGGAAACGACUGAUAAUACCGCAUAAGACCACAGCACCGCAUGGUGCGGGGGUAAAAACUCCGGUGGUAUGAGAUGGACCCGCGUUGGAUUAGCCAGUUGGCGGGGUAACGGCCCACCAAAGCGACGAUCGAUAGCCGAUCUGAGAGGAUGACCGGCCACAUUGGGACUGAGACACGGCCCAAACUCCUACGGGAGGCAGCAGUGGGGAAUAUUGCACAAUGGGGGAAACCCUGAUGCAGCGACGCCGCGUGAGUGAAGAAGUAUUUCGGUAUGUAAAGCUCUAUCAGCAGGGAAGAAAAUGACGGUACCUGAGUAAGAAGCCCCGGCUAACUACGUG
rnacentral:rRNA from 1 species